rnacentral:lncRNA from 1 species
GGUUCAAACAAUACAGAAGUGUAUAAAGUAAGAAUUGAAAGUCUCUUCGCUGCUCUAAUCUCACUCCUCAGAGGUGAUCACUGAUUAUCAUCCCAGAGCCCUCCCUGAAGCCCACACACAGCUUCUUCAGGAAAUGCUGACAGCAUGUGUGGAAGAUGAUCAAAGUAUGACAUUUCUUCUACCCCAGAGGCUGGCAUUUCUGCAGGCACAAAUGAGCUUGGUUUUCAAGCACUGCUCUUUGAACACAAGGAAUUCCUUUAAUGAUCACGCCGGACUAUAUAGACUUUGGAAUCAGACUCUUUGAAUUCCAGCUCUGCCAUUUACCAACUUUGACACUUUGGACAACGUCUCAUUCUGUCACCCAGGCUGGAGUGCAGUGGCACAAUUAUAGCUCACUGCAGCCUCAAACACCUGGGCUCAAGCAAUCCUUCCACCUCUGCCUCCUGAGUAAUUGGGACUACAGGUAUUAUGUUUCUAUUAAUGCAGUCUAAAGGGUUUUGGAAAUCUGGAUUGUAGCAGGGCAUUGUAAGU